UACGAAGGUCCCAAGCGUUAUCCGGAUUUAUUGGGCUUAAAGGGUGCGUAGGCGGACUAUUAAGUCAGUGGUGAAAGCCCCAAGCUUAACUUGGGAACUGCCAUUGAUACUGAUGGUCUUGAGUACAGUUGAGGUGGGCGGAAUGUGUCAUGUAGCGGUGAAAUGCUUAGAUAUGACACAGAACACCGAUUGCGAAGGCAGCUCACUAAACUGUAACUGACGCUGAGGCACGAAAGCGUGGGGAGCAAACAGG
rnacentral:rRNA from 1 species